rnacentral:rRNA from 1 species
GACGAACGCUGGCGGCGUGCUUAACACAUGCAAGUCGAACGGAAAGGCCCUGCUUGCAGGGUACUCGAGUGGCGAACGGGUGAGUAACACGUGGGUGAUCUGCCCUGCACUUCGGGAUAAGCCUGGGAAACUGGGUCUAAUACCGGAUAGGAGCCAUUUUUAGUGUGAUGGUUGGAAAGUUUUUUCGGUGUAGGAUGAGCUCGCGGCCUAUCAGCUUGUUGGUGGGGUAAUGGCCUACCAAGGCGGCGACGGGUAGCCGGCCUGAGAGGGUGGACGGCCAAAAUGGGACUGGGAUACGGCCCAGACUCCUACGGGGGGGAGCAGGGGGGAAUAUUGCACAAUGGGCGCAAGCCUGAUGCAGCGACGCCGCGUGGGGGAUGACGGCCUUCGGGUUGUAAACUCCUUUCGCUAGGGACGAAGCUUUUUGUGACGGUACCUAGAUAAGAAGCACCGGCUAACUACGUG